AACGAACGCUGGCGGCAGGCUUAACACAUGCAAGUCGAACGGUGAACGAGGGAGCUUGCUCCCUCCGGAUCAGUGGCGAACGGGUGAGUAACACGUGAGCAAUCUGCCCUGGACUCUGGGAUAAGCGUUGGAAACGACGUCUAAUACCGGAUACGACAUAUGGAGGCAUCUCCUGUACGUGGAAAGAAUUUCGGUCAAGGAUGAACUCGCGGCCUAUCAGCUAGUUGGUGAGGUAAUGGCUCACCAAGGCGACGCCGGGUAGCCGGCCUGAGGGGGUGACCGGCCACACUGGGACUGAGACACGGCCCAGACUCCUACGGGAGGCAGCAGUGGUGAAUAUUGCACAAUGGGCGAAAGCCUGAUGCAGCAACGCCGCGUGAGGGAUAAAGGCCUUCGGGUUGUAAACCUCUUUUAGUUGGAAAGAAGCGAAAGUGACGGUACCAACAGAAAAAGCACCGGCUAACUACGUGCCAGCAGCCGCCGUAAGAC
rnacentral:rRNA from 1 species